GAAGAAAGAGGGCGGCGGGCUUAACACAUGCAAGUCGAACGGAAAGGCCCUGCUUUUGUGGGGUGCUCGAGUGGCGAACGGGUGAGUAACACGUGAGUAACCUGCCCUUGACUUUGGGAUAACUUCAGGAAACUGGGGCUAAUACCGGAUAGGAGCUCCUGCUGCAUGGUGGGGGUUGGAAAGUUUCGGCGGUUGGGGAUGGACUCGCGGCUUAUCAGCUUGUUGGUGGGGUAGUGGCUUACCAAGGCUUUGACGGGUAGCCGGCCUGAGAGGGUGACCGGCCACAUUGGGACUGAGAUACGGCCCAGACUCCUACGGGAGGCAGCAGUGGGGAAUAUUGCACAAUGGGCGGAAGCCUGAUGCAGCAACGCCGCGUGCGGGAUGACGGCCUUCGGGUUGUAAACCGCUUUCGCCUGUGACGAAGCGUGAGUGACGGUAAUGGGUAAAGAAGCACCGGCUAACUACGUG
rnacentral:rRNA from 1 species